AGUGAACGCUGGCGGUAGGCCUAACACAUGCAAGUCGAACGGCAGCACAGGAGAGCUUGCUCUCUGGGUGGCGAGUGGCGGACGGGUGAGGAAUACAUCGGAAUCUACUUUUUCGUGGGGGAUAACGUAGGGAAACUUACGCUAAUACCGCAUACGACCUACGGGUGAAAACAGGGGAUCUUCGGACCUUGCGCGAUUGAAUGAGCCGAUGUCGGAUUAGCUAGUUGGCGGGGUAAAGGCCCACCAAGGCGACGAACCGUAGCUGGUCUGAGGGGAUGAUCAGCCACACUGGAACUGAGACACGGUCCAGACUCCUACGGGAGGCAGCAGUGGGGAAUAUUGGACAAUGGGCGCAAGCCUGAUCCAGCCAUACCGCGUGGGUGAAGAAGGCCUUCGGGUUGUAAAGCCCUUUUGUUGGGAAAGAAAUCCAGCUGGCUAAUACCCGGUUGGGAUGACGGUACCCAAAGAAUAAGCACCGGCUAACUUCGUGCCAGCCGCCGCGGUAAUAC
rnacentral:rRNA from 1 species